CUACGUGCCAGCAGCCGCGGUAAUACGGAAGGUCCAGGCGUUAUCCGGAUUUAUUGGGUUUAAAGGGAGCGUAGGCCGGAGAUUAAGUGUGUCGUGAAAUGUAGACGCUCAACGUCUGACUUGCAGCGCAUACUGGUUUCCUUGAGUACGCACAACGUUGGCGGAAUUCGUCGUGUAGCGGUGAAAUGCUUAGAUAUGACGAAGAACUCCGAUUGCGAAGGCAGCUGACGGGAGCGCAACUGACGCUGAAGCUCGAAGGUGCGGGUAUCGAACAGGAUUAGAUACCCUGGUAGUCCGCMCAGUAAACGAUGGAUGCCCGCUGUUGGUACCUGGUAUCAGCGGCUAAGCGAAAGCAUUAAGCAUCCCACCUGGGGAGUACGCCGGCAACGGUGAAACUCAAAGGAAUUGACGGGGGCCCGCACAAGCGGAGGAACAUGUGGUUUAAUUCGAUGAUACGCGAGGAACCUUACCCGGGCU
rnacentral:rRNA from 1 species